CGCGCAGGCCCCGCCCCUCGCUCGUCACGUCGCAUCCCACCCCGCCCGCCGCCGUCCUUCUGUGCGCGUGCGCACUUCCCUCUUGCAAAACCCUCGGCGAGAUAGUCAAGAAAGGCGAGCUUGCGUGGGUGGCAAAGUUAAGGGCGCCAUCUACGGGUAGAUCUGACUCGCUUGUGGGCCUCGACCCGAGGAGAGUCGGGAAGGAAGAGAGACCCGGUGAGAGAGGAGGCCCACCCAGGAGGAGAAGUCAGUUGGAGGACACUGAGGGGGCUGCGGAGGUGCAGGACUCCCGAGGAGGACGCUGGAGAGAGGGAAGGAGGACAAAGGAGUCAGGAGUGUUCAGGCCUGGCCUAAACCAGCAGAACAAAGCAAACGGGCUUUCAGCGGACAACAGCAGCUUCUCAGAAAAUAGAGCAAGAGGAAGAGGCAGACAAGGUAAAUGUUGGGCUGCUGAAUCCUGCACUGCAGACUUCUUGAGGAAUGCCCGUGGGCAGGGCUGAGCAGGAAUCUAUCCCAACAUUUAAAGACCUCAGUUUAUUCACUGUCCGUUGGGGGACAUCCUGGAGGGACUGCAGAGAUGAGUGUCAGCUUCAGGGACCUGAAGGCCCGCCGCACUCCCACUCCAUUGGAGCCAGCUUGCACGUUCUGCACAGUGUGGGAGCAGCCCCGAGCAUGGGGAGCACAGCCCUUCGGCUCUUCCUGGGAUGAGCCUGCGGGGAGGCUCUGAAAGGGACUUCUUCCAGCAGAGCAUACACAGCUUUAAGCCAUAUGCCUUUGCCUGAAACAAGAAAUAAAGCAAGAGGUGCAAAGGAAUACAUUAAUCACAAGAGUAAAUAUAAUUCCUUAUUAAAAAAAAGCAAGAGAUGCAAUCAUAUACCCAGUCAUGGGCUGUCGCCCGUCAGGUACUUGGAAGAAACAUGACUGGAAAACUGGUGAGAAGGAAAUGUAGAUAAACUCUGAGUGGGCAAAAACCCCAAAAGACAUUUAUGUCUGGUAUGAAUGCUCCCCAAGUGUGUUACUUUUCUCUCAUUGCUGAGACAAAACACUUGACACCCAAAGUUACAAGGGAAAGAUUUAUGUGGUGUACAGUUUGUAGAGGUUUCAGUCCAUAACUGACUGUCUCCAAGGCAGGGUGGCAGAGGAGCAACAGUUCAUGGCAGAAGAAAACAGAAAAGCAGCAAAGAAGCUUAGCAGCAUCUUUCUGCCCUUUAUCUUAUGCAGACUGCUCAGCAAGUAGCACUCAUGCCCUUAAUCCUAGUGCCCUCAGGCCUAGCACUGCACCAUGAGUCAAUCACACACGCUAGAUUCAGCCCUUCUGAGAAAGCUUGAGGCUUGGGGGGACAUCUAAACACAAGCCACAGCACCAGGGGCAAAUUCAGGAGGGGCAUGAAUAGCAGAGCACCU
rnacentral:lncRNA from 1 species